rnacentral:rRNA from 1 species
UGGNGGCGUGGUUAAGACAUGCAAGUCGAACGGAGCAGGUAGCAAUAUCUGCUUAGUGGCGAACGGGUGCGUAACACGUGGGCAACAUGCCUGAAAGCGCGGGAUAGCCCGGGGAAACCCGGAUUAAUACCGCAUGUGACUUGGAAGCGGCUUCGCUUUCUUUUCAAAGGUGGGGACCGCAAGGCCUGCCGCUUUCAGAUUGGCCCGCGUCCUAUCAGCUAGUUGGUGAGGUAACGGCUCACCAAGGCAACGACGGGUAGCUGGUCUGAGAGGACGACCAGCCACACUGGAACUGAGACACGGUCCAGACACCUACGGGUGGCAGCAGUCGAGAAUCUUUCACGAUGGGGGAAACCCUGAUGGAGCGACGCCGCGUGGAGGAUGAAGGUCUUCGGAUUGUAAACUCCUGUCAUGAAAGAACAAGCAAUGUGGGUUAAUAACCUGCAACGUUGAUAGUAUUUCAAGAGGAAGGGACGGCUAACUUCGUGCCAGCAGCCGCGGUAAUACGAAGGUCCCAAGCGUUGUUCGGAAUCACUGGGCGUAAAGAGUGCGUAGGCGGCGCGGAAAGUCAGAUGUGAAAUCCCGGGGCUCAACCUCGGAACGGCAUCCGAUACUCCCGCGCUAGAGGACUGGAGAGGAGUCUGGAAUUCACGGUGUAGCAGUGAAAUGCGUAGAUAUCGUGAGGAACACUAGUGGCGAAGGCGAGACUCUGGACAGUUCCUGACGCUGANGCACGAANGCCAGGGGAGCGAANGGGAUUAGAUACCCCCGUAGUCCUGGNNNUAAACGGUGCUCGCUUGGNAUGCGCGGUUUCGANCCCGUGCGUGCCGGANCUAACGCGUUAAGCGAGCCGCCUGGGAAGUACGGNCGCAAGAUUAAAACUCAAAGAAAAUUGACGGGGACCCGCACAAGCGGUGG